rnacentral:rRNA from 1 species
GAUGAACGCUGGCGGCGUGCCUAAUACAUGCAAGUCGAGCGAACGGACGAGAAGCUUGCUUCUCUGAUGUUAGCGGCGGACGGGUGAGUAACACGUGGAUAACCUACCUAUAAGACUGGGAUAACUUCGGGAAACCGGAGCUAAUACCGGAUGAUAUUUUGAACCGCAUUGUUCAAAAGUGAAAGACGGUCUUGCUGUCACUUAUAGAUGGAUCCGCGCUGCAUUAGCUAGUUGGUAAGGUAACGGCUUACCAAGGCAACGAUGCAUAGCCGACCUGAGAGGGUGAUCGGCCACACUGGAACUGAGACACGGUCCAGACUCCUACGGGAAGCAGCAGUAGGGAAUCUUCCGCAAUGGGCGAAAGCCUGACGGAGCAACGCCGCGUGAGUGAUGAAGGUCUUCGGAUCGUAAAACUCUGUUAUUAGGGAAGAACAUAUGUGUAAGUAACUGUGCACAUCUUGACGGUACCUAAUCAGAAAGCCACGGCUAACUACGUG